GGGCCGGAAGCGCGGCUGACCCGGCCAGCGGCUCAGGGACUCGGGGCAGGACGGACAAGGGGCGGGUGUAAACCGCACCCCUCGCCUCCCCCCCACGCGUCUACACAGGCGCCCCGUCUACACAGGCGCCACUACUUCACAGACCUUCCCUCCUGUCUCUCCGUGUUGGCUGAGGGACAUAUCAGAGGACGCGGCUGGGCAGCAUCAAAAUCAAAAUGGCUUUGAACCUGGGAGCAGAGAGGUCGCUGUGCCUGCAGCUGAAGAUAGCCCCCACUGGUGCAAGCAGAACUCUGCAGCAGGGAGGGGGACUCCAUGCCAGCAAGUGUCAAUGACUAGCAUCAGCUCCAGUGCAGCUGUUGACCAGACCUGCAGCGUCUGGAAGAGACCGAUGCCUUUCCCCAUCACCCCUCCUCAAUUAUACAAGUCCGAAGCACAGGAGGGUGAGAGAA